rnacentral:lncRNA from 10 species
AACGAAAAGGCGGACGCACCCUGAUCAUCUGUCCUGUGACGGGCUCAGCCAUUGGAUCGCGAAUCUGCGUUCGCGCAUGCGUGGUCCUAGAGCUACGGUGACACUUCGCGUGCGGUGUAGGCGCAUCUUCGCUCUGUUGGCCGUGGCUUUAGUAAGCACACACCUGCCUGCUACUCUGGUUAUCGUGGCGACGGCAGGUCUGGAUUGCCAGACAGGUUUUUCUUUUUACCUCGAGGCUUUCUCUGAAGGGAGUCGGAGCAUUUAAAAGGCGGCCUCAAGGUGGAUUGAGUCGGGGGAGGAUUAGCAGUAUUUGCUUAGGUUGUAAAACCGCGACUUUAUCUAAUAAAUCGCCAUUCAAGGUGCAAAUACAAACUUGGAACAGAGGUGCGUGACAUGUACCCCUUUUGUCCUAAAGUCAAGAAUCAAUAAUGUGACUUAGCCCUAUUAUCUUGCCUCUAAUUAAGCGAUUCUCACUUAUUCUUUCUCUAUUGCUAAUUCUCACGUUACAUUUCCCCUUUUCUGUGUCCACCUUUCUCUUUUGCGCAUUGAUAUAGGAAGUGUUUUGUAAUAGGCUGUAGCUUUUUCUCUUACUGUUAUAAAAACCAGGACAUAUAGCAUUACUACAAAAUGAGAUACUCCGUAAACACUUUAAAAGUGCCAGCUAUUUAAUGACCCAAGAAAAUACUCGUGAUAUAAAAGUUGACUAAGUCAGGAUAUUAGAGUAGUGUAGCGACUAUAGAAGUACAAUAUAGAGCGCAACUAAAAAGUGAAAAUGGUAACUCUGCUGACCGGAUGAAGGAUUUUUUUUUCUGUUUCUUUGCACUUUUCUGUAUUUUCCAAAAUUUCUAUAAUAGGCGUUAUGUUAUUUGUAAAAUUUAAACAAUAUAUACAAUCCAUAUUAUACUGACAUCUUUGAAAUCCAGGCCAGAGAGUAAAUCAUAUCAUUUGAAAACAAAUUACUUUUUUUUAGGCUUAGUCUGCAGUAAUGCCUUAAAGAAGGUAAACUGAGGAAAGAGAAAAUAAAGAGUGCUUGGUCCUCAUAAUUUACCGUUAAGCUGGGCUCUGUGGCUCACGCCUGUAAUCCCAACACUUUGGGAGGCCGAGGCGGGUGGAUCACCUGAGGUCAGGAGUUCGAGACCAGCCUGGCCAACAUGAUGAAAUCCCGUCUUUACCAAAACUACAAAAUUAGCUGGGCGUGGUGGCCGCGCCUGUAAUCCCAGCUACUCGGGAGGCUGAGGCAGGAGAAUCACUUGAACCCGGGAGGCGGAGGUUGCAGUGAGCCAAGAUCCGCCAUUGCACUCCAGCCUGGGCAACAAGAACGAAACUCCAUCUCAAAAAAAAAAAAAAAAAUUUUACAGUUAAAUGUUUUUUUUCAAAAUGACCACAAGUUUCAAAAAUGUGAGCCAAUCACAUGUUUACUAGGCAGAGUUUAGAGUGAUAUAAUACUUGCUGCCUUCUAAUAACCGACUUGCUUGGGUUUGCUCUUACAUGACAUUCAUGCUCAAAUUCUUAGCACUACUGACAUACUUAGGUCUAUAUUUUGUUUUGAUCUGUUAAGUUUACCUUCAACCCCAGGCUCAAAUGGAAAACAAUCUAUCACAGUUAAUGGAGAAGGCUUUGAGUCCUUUUAUUUUGCUAAGUUCUGUUAGUAAAAAUGUAUGCCACAAUAUGGGCAUAUUGCGAAAGUACAUAUAAGGCAGGUUUUUCCUCCCCAUUUCUGCCUAUAUCAUCAUGCCCACUAAAUUUGAUAAUUAUUUAACUGAUCUGCUAUUCCAGCACUCUGUAUAUAUGGUCAUUUUACCUUCAAUUUUUUGUUUUUGUUCUAGUGAUCUGAGUGAUUGUGAUGUAUUUAUCUGCUUCCUUUUUCUUUAUUUUUGUUUGUUCAUAGGAAAAUGAGUUAAUCCCUUGUCUCUUUUUUUAUUAGAAAUUCGAUUUUGACUGAAACAUUUACAGAAUUGAAACCUCCUGAGAUUCUUCUCUAAAACUUAACAUUUUCAGAUGAGGUCCACAUGGAUGAAAUUGCUUUUCCAGAUCUCUUGUCAGUAACCCACUGCUCCCUGACUUCACACCCCACCUCCACUCUAACUGCUUUGCUAGUUAAUCCCCACUCAUCCUUCAAGAUUCAGAUGUAAAUGAAUUCCUCAAGGUCAGAGACUGUUUUUAUUCAUUUCUACAUCUCCAACACCUGGCAAAGUGCCUCGGCCAUAAAAGAUAAUCUGCCUCUGAAACCUUCCGUGGGCACAGAAAUUUCUGCAAGGAAAGCAUCAGCAACCAGAAUAAUUUGAUUGCAUUUGGGUUUAAACAGAGGACUUAAUCAUAGCAUGGACAGAAAAGGCUCACCAUCUAUCUAAAUGACUCUGAUUGCACCAUCAUCCUCAUUGUUCUUGUGGAGUCUCGCUCUGUCGCCCAGGCUGGGGUGGAGUGACGCGAUCUCGGCUCACCGCAAGCUCCGCCUCCCGGGUUCACGCCAUUCUCCUGUCUCAGCCUCCCCAGUAGCUGGGACUACAGGCGUCCACCACCACGCCCGGCUAAUUUUUUGUACUUUUAGUAGAGACGGGUUUCACCGUGUCAGCCAGGAUGGUCUCGAUCUCCUGACCUCGUGAUCUGCCCGCCUCAGCCUCCC